GGGUUGUGAGGUUAAGCGACUAAGCGUACACGGUGGAUGCCCUGGCAGUCAGAGGCGAUGAAGGACGUGCUAAUCUGCGAUAAGCGCCGGUAAGGUGAUAUGAACCGUUAUAACCGGCGAUUUCCGAAUGGGGAAACCCAGUGUGACUCGUCACACUAUCAUUAACUGAAUCCAUAGGUUAAUGAGGCGAACCGGGGGAACUGAAACAUCUAAGUACCCCGAGGAAAAGAAAUCAACCGAGAUUCCCCCAGUAGCGGCGAGCGAACGGGGAGGAGCCCAGAGCCUGAAUCAGCAUAUGUGUUAGUGGAAGCGUCUGGAAAGGCGCGCGAUACAGGGUGACAGCCCCGUACACAAAAGCGCAUGUGCUGUGAGCUCGAUGAGUAGGGCGGGACACGUGGUAUCCUGUCUGAAUAUGGGGGGACCAUCCUCCAAGGCUAAAUACUCCUGACUGACCGAUAGUGAACCAGUACCGUGAGGGAAAGGCGAAAAGAACCCCGGCGAGGGGAGUGAAAAAGAACCUGAAACCGUGUACGUACAAGCAGUGGGAGCACCCUUUGGGGUGUGACUGCGUACCUUUUGUAUAAUGGGUCAGCGACUUAUAUUCUGUAGCAAGGUUAACCGAAUAGGGGAGCCGGAGGGAAACCGAGUCUUAACCGGGCGUUAAGUUGCAGGGUAUAGACCCGAAACCCGGUGAUCUAGCCAUGGGCAGGUUGAAGGUUGGGUAACACUAACUGGAGGACCGAACCGACUAAUGUUGAAAAAUUAGCGGAUGACCUGUGGCUGGGGGUGAAAGGCCAAUCAAACCGGGAGAUAGCUGGUUCUCCCCGAAAGCUAUUUAGGUAGCGCCUCGUGAAUUCAUCUCCGGGGGUAGAGCACUGUUUCGGCUAGGGGGCCAUCCCGGCUUACCAACCCGAUGCAAACUGCGAAUACCGGAGAAUGUUAUCACGGGAGACACACGGCGGGUGCUAACGUCCGUCGUGAAGAGGGAAACAACCCAGACCGCCAGCUAAGGUCCCAAAGUCAUGGUUAAGUGGGAAACGAUGUGGGAAGGCCCAGACAGCCAGGAUGUUGGCUUAGAAGCAGCCAUCAUUUAAAGAAAGCGUAAUAGCUCACUGGUCGAGUCGGCCUGCGCGGAAGAUGUAACGGGGCUAAACCAUGCACCGAAGCUGCGGCAGCGACGCUGAUGCGUUGUUGGGUAGGGGAGCGUUCUGUAAGCCUGCGAAGGUGGCCUGUGAGGGUUGCUGGAGGUAUCAGAAGUGCGAAUGCUGACAUAAGUAACGAUAAAGCGGGUGAAAAGCCCGCUCGCCGGAAGACCAAGGGUUCCUGUCCAACGUUAAUCGGGGCAGGGUGAGUCGACCCCUAAGGCGAGGCCGAAAGGCGUAGUCGAUGGGAAACGGGUUAAUAUUCCCGUACUUGGUGUUACUGCGAAGGGGGGACGGAGAAGGCUAUGUUGGCCGGGCGACGGUUGUCCCGGUUUAAGCGUGUAGGUGUGUGUUCCAGGUAAAUCCGGUUCACUUUAACACUGAGGCGUGAUGACGAGGCACUACGGUGCUGAAGCAACAAAUGCCCUGCUUCCAGGAAAAGCCUCUAAGCAUCAGGUAACAUCAAAUCGUACCCCAAACCGACACAGGUGGUCAGGUAGAGAAUACCAAGGCGCUUGAGAGAACUCGGGUGAAGGAACUAGGCAAAAUGGUGCCGUAACUUCGGGAGAAGGCACGCUGACACGUAGGUGAAGUGAUUUACUCAUGGAGCUGAAGUCAGUCGAAGAUACCAGCUGGCUGCAACUGUUUAUUAAAAACACAGCACUGUGCAAACACGAAAGUGGACGUAUACGGUGUGACGCCUGCCCGGUGCCGGAAGGUUAAUUGAUGGGGUCAGCGCAAGCGAAGCUCCUGAUCGAAGCCCCGGUAAACGGCGGCCGUAACUAUAACGGUCCUAAGGUAGCGAAAUUCCUUGUCGGGUAAGUUCCGACCUGCACGAAUGGCGUAAUGAUGGCCAGGCUGUCUCCACCCGAGACUCAGUGAAAUUGAACUCGCUGUGAAGAUGCAGUGUACCCGCGGCAAGACGGAAAGACCCCGUGAACCUUUACUAUAGCUUGACACUGAACAUUGAGCCUUGAUGUGUAGGAUAGGUGGGAGGCUUUGAAGUGUGGACGCCAGUCUGCAUGGAGCCGGCCUUGAAAUACCACCCUUUAAUGUUUGAUGUUCUAACGUGGACCCGUGAUCCGGGUUGCGGACAGUGUCUGGUGGGUAGUUUGACUGGGGCGGUCUCCUCCUAAAGAGUAACGGAGGAGCACGAAGGUUGGCUAAUCCUGGUCGGACAUCAGGAGGUUAGUGCAAUGGCAUAAGCCAGCUUGACUGCGAGCGUGACGGCGCGAGCAGGUGCGAAAGCAGGUCAUAGUGAUCCGGUGGUUCUGAAUGGAAGGGCCAUCGCUCAACGGAUAAAAGGUACUCCGGGGAUAACAGGCUGAUACCGCCCAAGAGUUCAUAUCGACGGCGGUGUUUGGCACCUCGAUGUCGGCUCAUCACAUCCUGGGGCUGAAGUAGGUCCCAAGGGUAUGGCUGUUCGCCAUUUAAAGUGGUACGCGAGCUGGGUUUAGAACGUCGUGAGACAGUUCGGUCCCUAUCUGCCGUGGGCGCUGGAGAACUGAGGGGGGCUGCUCCUAGUACGAGAGGACCGGAGUGGACGCAUCACUGGUGUUCGGGUUGUCAUGCCAAUGGCACUGCCCGGUAGCUAAAUGCGGAAGAGAUAAGUGCUGAAAGCAUCUAAGCACGAAACUUGCCCCGAGAUGAGUUCUCCCUGAGACUUAGAGUCUCCUGAAGGAACGUUGAAGACGACGACGUUGAUAGGCCGGGUGUGUAAGCGCAGCGAUGCGUUGAGCUAACCGGUACUAAUGAACCGUGAGGCUUAACCUUACAACGCCGAAG
rnacentral:rRNA from 1 species